CCUACGGGAGGCAGCAGUGAGGAAUAUUGGUCAAUGGGCGCGAGCCUGAACCAGCCAAGUCGCGUGAGGGAAGACGGUCCUAUGGAUUGUAAACCUCUUUUGUCGGGGAGCAAAAGACGCCACGCGUGGCGUUCCGAGAGUACCCGAAGAAAAAGCAUCGGCUAACUCCGUGCCAGCAGCCGCGGUAAUACGGAGGAUGCGAGCGUUAUCCGGAUUUAUUGGGUUUAAAGGGUGCGCAGGCGGAAGAUUAAGUCAGCGGUAAAAUUGAGGGGCUCAACCUCGUCGAGCAGGUGAAACUGGUUGUCUGGAGUGAGCGAGAAGUAUGCGGAAGGCGUGGUGUAGCGGUGAAAUGCAUAGAUAUCACGCAGAACUCCGAUUGCGAAGGCAGCAUACCGGCGCUCAACUGACGCUCAUGCACGAAAGUGUGGGUAUCGAACAGGAUUAGAUACCCCAGUAGUC
rnacentral:rRNA from 1 species